UACGUACUGUGCGAACGUUAUUCGGAAUCACUGGGCUUAAAGGGUGCGUAGGCGGCCCAUUAAGUAGGGUGUGAAAGGCUUCGGCUCAACCGGAGCAUUGCGCUCUAGACUGAUUGGCUCGAGUGAGAUAGGGGUGUGCGGAGCUUCCAGUGGAGCGGUGAAAUGUGUUGAUAUUGGAAGGAACGCCGGUGGCGAAAGCGGCACACUGGGUCUUAACUGACGCUGAGGCACGAAAGCCAGGGGAGCGAACGGG
rnacentral:rRNA from 1 species